UUCUCUCCAUCCAACUCUGGCUUCCAGUUGAAACAAGCUAAUUAAGUUGGAUAUCAAAUAAUUUCACCAGUACUUACCCAGCAGAUAUGGGAGCCAUUAAAGGAUGAUGCCAAGAUUCCUAUCAGAAAAAGGAAGCUUAUCCUGCAUUUCAACUCUGAAUCUCUCAAGACGCCCAGGCAGGAAGACCCUGAAAGGAAGAACUGUUAAAUAAUAGACAGUUUUCUGAUAUUGAGUGCAGUCUUGCCCAAGCUGGUUAUCUUCUAAGAUGUUGGGCAGCACCUCUGGGAGUUCUGAGUUGCAGUUCUAACACUUCUGGCAAGAAGGAGAAUCAGAUUUACCAGAACCUGCUGCCCCAGAUUGCAAGAACUGAUUGCCUUUGAAUAAAGAAGAUACUCAUAGUCCUCCUUUA